rnacentral:misc_RNA from 1 species
UACAGAGACCUCAAGCGUUAUCCGGAAUCAUUGGGCGUAAAGCGUUCCGAUCGGCGGUUUGGAAAGUGUUGGGUAAAAUCCAGGGGCUCAACUCCUGGCUCGCUCAGCAUACUACCAGACUAGAGGGGCAAAGAGGUGCCUGGAACGAAUGGUGUAGCGGUGAAAUGCGUUGAUAUCAUUCGGAACACCAAUAGCGAAGGCAAGGCACUGGGUGCCACCUGACGCUGCUAGGACGAAAGCGUGGGGAGCGAAUGGG